AACGAGCGCAACCCCUGCAUUCAGUUGCCAUCGGGUAGGAGCCGGGCACUCUGGAAGGACUGCCAUCGACAAGAUGGAGGAAGUGGGGAGUGACGUCAAGUCAUCAUGGCCCUUAUGUCCAGGGCGACACACGUGCUACAAUGGCCGGCACAACGGGAAGCGAGUUCGCGAGGACAAGCGGAUCCCUCAAAGCCGGUCGCAGUUCGGAUUGAAGUCUGCAACUCGACUUCAUGAAGCUGGAAUCGCUAGUAAUCGUGGAUCAGCCAAGCCGCGGUGAAUACGUUCCCGGGCCUU
rnacentral:rRNA from 1 species